rnacentral:rRNA from 1 species
UAAACCUACGGGAGGCAGCAGUAGGGAAUUUUCGUCAAUGGGCGCAAGCCUGAACGAGCAAUGCCGCGUGAACGAGGAAGGUCUUCGGAUCGUGAGGUUCUGUUGGAGGGGAAAAAGAGCGGAGAGAGGAAAUGAACUCCGAUUGAUAUUACCCUACGAGGAAGUCACGGCUAACUAUGUGCCAGCAGCCGCGGUAAUACGUAGGUGGCGAGCGUUAUCCGGAAUGAUUGGGCGUAAAGGGUGCGUAGGCGGCCUGCUAAGUCUGGAGUGAAAGGUACCGGCUCAACCGGUACAGGCUCUGGAAA